rnacentral:rRNA from 1 species
AGAGUUUGAUCAUGGCUCAGGACGAACGCUGGCGGCGUGCUUAACACAUGCAAGUCGAGCGGAAAGGCCCUUCGGGGUACUCGAGCGGCGAACGGGUGAGUAACACGUGAGUAACCUGCCCUGGACUUUGGGAUAACCCUCGGAAACGGGGGCUAAUACCGGAUAUGACAAUUGACUGCAUGGUUGGUUGUGGAAAGUUUUUCGGUCUGGGAUGGGCUCGCGGCCUAUCAGCUUGUUGGUGGGGUGAUGGCCUACCAAGGCGACGACGGGUAGCCGGCCUGAGAGGGCGACCGGCCACACUGGGGCUGAGACACGGCCCAGACUCCUACGGGAGGCAGCAGUGGGGAAUAUUGCACAAUGGGCGGAAGCCUGAUGCAGCGACGCCGCGUGAGGGAUGACGGCCUUCGGGUUGUAAACCUCUUUCAGCAGGGACGAAGCGCAAGUGACGGUACCUGCAGAAGAAGCGCCGGCCAACUACGUGCCAGCAGCCGCGGUAAGACGUAGGGCGCGAGCGUUGUCCGGAUUUAUUGGGCGUAAAGAGCUCGUAGGCGGCUUGUCGCGUCGACUGUGAAAACCCGCGGCUCAACCGCGGGCCUGCAGCCGAUACGGGCAGGCUAGAGUUCGGUAGGGGAGACUGGAAUUCCUGGUGUAGCGGUGAAAUGCGCAGAUAUCAGGAGGAACACCGGUGGCGAAGGCGGGUCUCUGGGCCGAUACUGACGCUGAGGAGCGAAAGCGUGGGGAGCGAACAGGAUUAGAUACCCUAGUAGUCC